rnacentral:rRNA from 1 species
AUUGAACGCUGGCGGCAGGCCUAACACAUGCAAGUCGAGCGAGCGGCGGACGGGUGAGUAAUGCCUGGGAAUUGCCCAGUCGAGGGGGAUAACAGUUUGAAACGACUGCUAAUACCCCCUACGAUUUGAUUGCCCAGGUGGGAUUAGCUAGUUGGUGAGGUAAUGGCUCACCAAGGCGACUAUCCCUAGCUGGUCUGAGAGGAUGAGCAGCAAAAAUGGAACGGAUACACGGUCCAGACUCCUACGGGAGGCAGCAGUGGGGAAUAUGGCACAAUGGGGGAAACCCUGAUGCAGCCAUGCCGCGGGUGUGAAGAAGGCCGUCGGGUUGUAAAGCACUUUCAGCGAGGAGGCGUUACUCGCAGAAGAAGCACCGGCUAACUCCGGGCCAGCAGCCGCGGUAAUAC